ACGCUUAACACAUGACAAGUCGAACGGAGUUGUAUUAGCUGCUAAUAUAACUUAGGUGGCGGACGGGUGAAGUAACACGUGAGACCAACCUCGCCUUCGGAGAGGUGGAAUAAUGUCUGGAAACGGACACUAAUACCGCAUGACAUAACCGGACCGCAUGAUCUGGUUAUCAAAGAUUUAUCGCUCGAAGAUGGGCUCGCGUCCGAUUAGCUGGUUGGUGAGGUAACGGCUCACCAAGGCGACGAUCGGUAGCCGUACUGAGAGGUAGAACGGCCACAUUGGGACUGAGACACGGCCCAGACUCCUACGGGAGGCAGCAGUGGGGAAUAUUGCACAAUGGAGGAAACUCUGAUGCCAGCGAUGCCGCGUGAGGGAAGAAGGCAUUUUUGUUGUAAACCUCUGUUAUCAGGGACGAUAAUGACGGUACCUGAGGAGGAAGCUCCGGCUAACUACGUGCCAGCCGCCGC
rnacentral:rRNA from 1 species